GUAAUUCGAGAAAGUAGCAUGGUA
rnacentral:siRNA from 1 species